rnacentral:rRNA from 1 species
AUGAUUGUAGCUAACACCCUCUUUAGAAAGAGAGAAUCACAUCUGGUGACUUUUAGUAGUGGCCAACACUCUAGCCAGAUUGAUUUCAUCCUCUCGAGAAGAGAAGAUAGGCGUGUGUGCCUAGACUGUAAGGUGAUACCUAGACAGAGUGGUGUACCUCAGCAUAAGCUGGUGGUUGCUGACUACCGCUUUCGGAUUCGUGUCCAGCGAGAUAAGCGUGCCACAGUCGCUAGAACGAAGUGGUGGAAGCUCAAGGGGGAGGUAGCUCAGGCGUUCAAGGGAAGGGUCAUUAAGGAGGGCCCUUGGGAGGAAGAAGGGGAUGCGGACAAUGUGUGGAUGAAGAUGGCGACUUGCAUUCGUAAGGUGGCCUCGGAGGAGUUCGGAGUGUCCACGGGAAGGAGAAGCGAAGAUAAGGAUACCUGGUGGUGGAAUGAUGAUGUCCAGAAGGUGAUUAAAGAAAAGAAAGAUUGUUUCGGACACCUAUACCUGGAUAGGAGCAGACAACAUAGAGAAGUACAAGAUGGCGAAGAAGGCCGCAAAGCGAGCUGUCAGUGA